UACAGAGGGUGCGAGCGUUAAUCGGAAUUACUGGGCGUAAAGCGUGCGUAGACGGUCAUGUAAGUCGGAUGUGAAAGCCCCGGGCUCAACCUGGGAAUUGCAUUCGAGACUGCAUGGCUUGGGUGCGGAAGAGGGAAGCGGAAUUUCCGGUGUAGCGGUGAAAUGCGUAGAGAUCGGGAGGAACAUCAGUUGCGAAGGCGGCUCUCUGGACCAGCACUGACACUGAGGCACGAAAGCGUGGGGAGCAAACAGG
rnacentral:rRNA from 1 species